UACAGAGGAUGCAAGCGUUAUCCGGAAUGAUUGGGCGUAAAGCGUCUGUAGGUGGCUUUUUAAGUCCGCCGUCAAAUCCCAGGGCUCAACUCUGGACAGGCGGUGGAAACUACCAAGCUGGAGUACGGUAGGGGCAGAGGGAAUUUCCGGUGGAGCGGUGAAAUGCGUAGAGAUCAGGAAGAACACCCGUGGCGAAGGCGGCCCACUGGGCCGGUGCUGACGCUGAGGCGCGAAGGCGUGGGGAGCGAACGGG
rnacentral:rRNA from 1 species